CAUCGAAACGAAAAGGCCCUGGGCACCAUGAGGAGCUUGGCAGGAUGCCACACGAACUAGUGCAUUUCAGCCUUACAAGCCUCCUACGCUGUUGACAAAUUUACAAAGACGUAACACUCAAACUAAAAUUCCUUUACCUUAUGGAGGUGGAGAUGUGACUUUUUAUACAUUAACGGAUCAGGGUGAACUUACAGCUGACAAUAUUCAUGCAGCAACUGUAGAUACACCGGAUGAAAAUGGUCUUACUGGACUUAUGUGGGCAGCUGGUUAUGGCCAAUUAAAUAGUGCAACACUUCUACUAAAGAAUGGGGCAGAUAAAAACUACAAAGGAUCUCAUGGUCAAUCGCAUUUGCAUCUAGCUGCAGCUUAUGGACAUCAUGAUGUUGUAAAAUUGCUCUUGAAUUAUGGUGCUGA